rnacentral:lncRNA from 1 species
UUAGUUUUUGUAUUCUUUAUAUGCACAUUUGCAUGUCUAUUUCUAUGCUCCUUAAAGUCACAUCUAAGCAAGGCCGGUAACCACACUAGUAGAUCUUGAGGGGUGCCUUACACCUUCCCCUCGAGAUAAUUUUAAGCCCUUACCUGAACUCUGGUUUUUCAUUCAAAAUCUUCCUCUUCUUAAAAGUGUCAUAAUGCACUAUAAUCAUUAGGUGGCGACUCAUCAAACUCCAUAACCCAAUUACCACAGGGGAAUAAAAGUUGUUUUGUCCAUAAUAUCGUAAAACCCAAUUUCGCUUCUUUUAGGGGGAAAAUGGGGCGUCGACACAUAUAACUCAGUCCAGACAUAAGAGUUAUUUGGACCGCAAGGUUCACAAUAUUUCCUAUAUGGUUGGU